UGCAACCUACGGGGGGCAGCAGUGAGGAAUAUUGGUCAAUGGACGAGAGUCUGAACCAGCCAAGUAGCGUGAAGGAUGACUGCCCUAUGGGUUGUAAACUUCUUUUAUAAAGGAAUAAAGUGAGGCACGUGUGCCUUUUUGUAUGUACUUUAUGAAUAAGGAUCGGCUAACUCCGUGCCAGCAGCCGCGGUAAUACGGAGGAUCCGAGCGUUAUCCGGAUUUAUUGGGUUUAAAGGGAGCGUAGAUGGGUUGUUAAGUCAGUUGUGAAAGUUUGCGGCUCAACCGUAAAAUUGCAAUUGAUACUG
rnacentral:rRNA from 1 species